CGAUGUUGAGGUUUGACGAUUUAUCUAUGAUCUAUCAUCUGGUCAGGCUUCACGAUAGAGAGACUGUAUCAUACGUUAACUGCAUCUAAAAGUUUAUCAUUUUUUAUUUUGCUGGAUUGCCACUAUAUACUGCUAGGUGUCACUGGUAGAUUGUGAGACCCACGAGCAUCAUUUCGAUGAUCGAUGAUCUUUGAUGGGC
rnacentral:lncRNA from 1 species